UGGGUGAGUUGUGUUUGAGGUGGGUAACAUAGUUUGGAAUACAUGUACAUUUUAACCUUUCAUAUUGUUGCAAAUAUAAUAUAUUCCUUCCUUUUAAUGAGAUUGGAGCACAUGAUGUGUAAUUUUAUGGUUUUUAGGAUUAUGAGAAUGUUUGAAAUGUAUGCUGCUCUAACUGUUAGACUGUAAAUAACUGCCAUAACUGAACCAACUGAAAAUAACUGCCUCAGGCACAUGACAUCACAGAGUUCUAUAGCCCUUGUGAGCAUUAACCCUUUCCUUAGCAUUUUGGAUGCUUUCAUCCCACAUUUAUAUGCCACCUUUCUCCCAGUUUGGGAUUCAGUGCAGCUUACAAUUAAAAACAACAUUACUGAAAACAGAGUAAUAAAAACAAAUGAGUUAAAAUACAAUAAAACACAUCCAGAACCAGCAUUAAAAUACUGAUUUCCUUGAUAGCAGUCCACUGGUCAACCGUGUCUGCAUCUUAGUUUCCAAAGGCCUGUCUGAAGAGGAGGAACGCCUUAGCCUGCCAGCAGAAGGAUAACAAGGGAACCAAUCUAACCUCUUUUGGGAAGGAGUUCCACAAGACGGGAGCAGCCACAGAAAAGGCUCUCUUUCGUGGCACAACUAACCAUUGUUGAUGGAACCAAGAGAAGGUGCUCACCCAAAGAUUUUAGCACUCAGUGAGUUUCAUAUAGGGAGACAUGAUCUUUCAAGUAGUGGGGACCAAGCCAUAUAGGGCUUUAUAGGUCAUAACCAGCACUUGGAAUUGUGCCCAGAAAUAGACCAGGAGCCAGUUAACAGGGGACUAGCAUGUUCCCUGUAACCAGUCCCGGAAAGCAAUCAGGCCGCAGCAUUCUGGACCAGCUGAAGCUUCCAAACAACUUUCAAUGACAUGCCUGCAUAGAUCAAAUAGAGAAGAGGGGGCCUGGAAAUGAGAGAUGAGAGAGCCGUUGCUGCCAGUCAGUGUAGGCAGGCCUGACUCAGUAUAAAGCAGUUCCCUUUGCUUCUCUGUAUAACAGCCAUGCUGCAGGGGGUGGUCCAAAGUGACUGGAGGGCACCAGACUGUGCUGCGGCUGCCCUUGUUGGUUAUUUGACAGUCCCCCUCUCUGCUCUCUCUCCCUUAAAAAAUAAAACACCUGUAACUCUGGUAACUGCUUUGAUCACUUGCAAAAUGCUCCAUUGGUGCAAAUUACAUAUUAAUUAGCUGUUCUGGAGAGCUAAAGUGUUUUGACACAGUGCUCUUUGUGAUUUAUCACUGGCAGUUGGUUUUUCUUUUCUUUCCCCUUCCAGCUGGCUGACUAGCUGGCCCAGUGACUCAGAAUGGGCACACAGGCAGCUGGCAAUGGAAUGAAAGAGGGAGCGCAUUGCAGCCGGCAGCAAAGGAAGAUGGUGGCAGCAGUGCCAAGCAGCUCCAAAUCGAAUCACUGUGCCCCUUGAUGAGGGCAACCAUACUGUUACGGCAGUGCAGGUAAAGCCCCUGCAAGGCUGGAAGCAGAGCAACUGUGAGGAGGGAGGGGGCGGGGUUGGAUUCUCUGCCACCUAAGGCAAAUGGCUUCAUCGCCCCUCAUGGGUAGUCCACCCCUUUCUAACAGCCUUCAUCUACCCUGUUCUACUGUUCAGGUGCGACCUUGUUAGGAUAUUUCCGUUCCACCUUAAAAGGGAGCAGGCUUUGUGAGUCACAGAGUCUGCGUAUUUCCUGUUCACAGGAAGUUUAUGUUUUGUCUAUUGCUUUCGUUUCUCUCUCUGUGCCUGAGACACCGAAGCAGGCAGUCAUGUUUUCUUUGUUCUGACCAACACUGAAUAAACUUGUAAAUAAUGCUCUCCUGAGUCCAUCUUUCGCUGUGCAUUAUCUGCUGGUAGAGCGUGCAUCAGCUCUGGAAUGUGGCAAGCUAUUUCUGGAGCUCGUGUCGCUAAUUGUUGAUACUGUGUGUCUACGGGAGACCGAUGGACGUCCGGAGGCGAGGUGGAGUCAUGAUGGACUUUGUCUCCCUGGCAGUAUCCCAACAGACCUGUCCCGUUUUGCCACCUGAGGCAAAAUGGAAAGGUGCUGCCUCUCGCAGCUGAAGCCUCUCUUGCCAGGGUCAUGUGGUGGUGGCGGCUUCCAGAAAGAUCUUACAAGAUCUCUCUGGAAGCUGCCACGGCUUCUCCUCAUUUGUGUGGCAGGGGUGGGCAGAGUGCCCACAGGGGCACCACCAUGUGGGACUCCAGCACCCAAGGCAGCUGCGCGUCCCCUUCGCCAUGCUCAGAGCACACUUAUAGAUGGGGGUUUUCUAAUCUCGUUCUGAGUGCAGAGCCAGUGGGCAGGUUAACCUAAAGUAAAAAAGCUUUGAGUCAUAUAGUGAAAAGUGGAGGGUAUUCCAGGCUUAUGGGCAUGGUGAUAUCACCAUAAGAACAUAAGAGGAGCCCUGCUGGAUCAGGCCAAUGGUCCAUCUGGUCCAGCAUCCUGUUCCCACUGUAGCCAACCAGAUGCCUGUGGGAAGCCAGCAAGCAGGGCUCAAGGAAACCUCCUAUAGUUUCCAGCAAUUGGGAUUCAGAAGCAUUGCUGCCUCCAGUUGCGAAGAUAUCCUGGCUAGUAGUCACAAUAGCCGCAUCCUCCACGAAUUUGGUAAAUCGUCUUUAAAAGCCAAACAAAUUGGUGGCCAUCACUGCCUCCUGCGGGAGUGAGUUCCAUAGCUUAAACAGAAGGGCUUUCUGUUAUCUGUCCGGAAUCUUCCAACUUCAUAGGAUGUCUCCAAGUUCUAGUGUUAUGUGAUAGGGAUAAAAAACUUUUCCCUAUCUACUUUCUCCACCCCACGUAUAAUUUUAUAAACUUCUGCCCUGUCACCUCUUCUCUAUAUUCAGGUGGGUAGCUGUGUUGGUCUGGCACAGUUGACAUAAAUUUUAAAAAAUUUAAAAAAAUGUCCAAUAGCACCUUAGAGACCAACUAAGUUUGUCCUGGGUAUAAGCUUUCGUGUGCAUGCAAGAAAAGGUAUCGGAAGAAGUGUAAAUGCACACGAAAGCUUAUACCCAGGACAAACUUAGUUGGUCUCUAAGGUGCUACUGGACAAUUUUUUUAUUUACCUCUUCUCUAUAUUCACUCAGAGCUGAAGAAGACCUAUAGGCAUAGCUGUCAACUUUUCCCUUUUUUAAAGGGAAAUUCCCUUAUUCCGAAUAGGAUUCCUCGCAAGAAAAGGGAAAAGUUGACAGCUAUGCCUGUAGGGAUUGUGACUCCUGCUCGCCUUUAGAGAGGACCAGACUCAAUGUGCGUAGUGUGUGUGUGUGUGUGUGUGUGUGUGUGUGUGUGUGUGUAAGAGAGAGAUUUUACUUUACAUGCCACUAUUCCAUGCCUAGCAAACUUCCAAAUGCACCACAAUUUUAUUCCCUGAAUAAAUGUUACAGAUGACACAGUUUUGUAAAUACCUUUAUACCCUGCCUGCUGAAUCACCAUCUCUCAGCCUAUAUUUGCAGCCUGAAAAGGACUAGACUAGAAACUUCCAUUAGAGGGGGGAAAGCUCAUAAUCAUAUAAAACCGAAUUCCCUGCAUAUGCAGGUGUGCCUACAGAAAAGCAAGGUCCAAACAGAAACCAACCAAGAUGAGUUUUUCAGUGAUGAAUAAUUCACUCUGUUUGGAUUUGUUGGUCUCUGCGGGCAGAUUGAGAUGGAUAUUCUGUGACUGAUUUUUUUUUUACAAAAAUAAAUCAUAGAAUUAGCUUUUGAGAUCUGUGGCUUGCCCUCAGAAAAAUCUGGAGUGCCCUUUGGCUGAGAGAAAAACAGCAGAAGCACACAGGGAGGCUGGCUGGCUCAGUCUGUUGUAAGAGUGUGAUAACUGAAGGGCUCCCCCUGCUGUAAAUUAGCUGUUAGGAAAUAACAGUCAAUAAAUUCAGAUUAGAACCUGUGGGGUUUGUUGUUGUUGUUGCUGCUGUUGUUUUUUAAAAAGACCCACAAGGAUAACAGAGUUGUCAGCCAUCAGGCACCUGGCUGAAAGAAAAGGGCUGUCUUUGCCUGGCACAAAAAACCCCAAACAUAUUAAGGGAGGUGACAAUAUGCUCUCUUUGGGGAGCACAUUCCUCAAAGGACGGGAGCAGGAGGAAGCACCACUGAAAAGGAUCAGGUAGCAGAUGAAAAAGCUCUCUCUCAACCCUGAGACAUUGGAGAGCUAAUUGGAAGAAAGUCAGUUCUGGACUAGAUGGCCAAAAGCGUCCGACCUGAUAUAUGACAGCUUCCAAUGUUCCAAAACUGCUCUUACUUGGGGUAAAGGUUUCUGUUGCAAUUAGCACCCAGAAGUUUUUACUCCAUGUAAAAACUUUCCAUUCCCCCUUUGCCUUUUCCCCACAGUCUGGGUCUCCUCUUUCUCACUGUUCUCAAUUAGGCUGCAUUACCUUUCUGGUGCCCCCAGUGCUGUGCUGGAGCUUCACUGCUGCAGCCGGCUUGCUUUGAAAUGCCCCCUUCAUGAAUUAUUCUGCUUUGUGGCUGUUAAUUCUGAUGCCUUCUUGCAGGAGGGCAUGUCUCUGUGUGUGUGUGUUUGUGUUUGUGUGUGUGUGUGUGUGUGUGUGUGUGUGUGUGUGUACACGUGCGUGCGUGCGCGCGCGCACACACACACACACACACACACUUGUCAAAGAAUAACUGGAAAGGUAGAUGCUUUAAUGCAUCCCCUUGCCGGCUGUGUCCCUGUAAGCAACUGAAUCCCACACCAAAGUCAGUUUGAAAAAUCCUCCUAAUCUCCACCUCUGGCUCCAUCACCACAGGUUUGACAAGAGUUAUUUCAUUUCCACCAGUUUCACAGGAGGGAUUGCAUUGAUUAUGUAUACAGGGCAAGCAAAGGUCUCCAGCACCCUGUGCAGAGCCUUUCAAACUGGAUGUUGAGCGAGGCUGCCGGGGUCACUUAAUGGUUGGCAGGGGCACAGUCUGUGGACUGCUGAUAAGAUCCUGUGGCCUCUGCUCUCAGUUUUCUCUCUCCAUUUCCGCAACCAUUUCUAAAAGAGAAUGCAAGAAAGCUAUAGAAUUCACAGCCAGGUGUUCAGUGUGGAACCAUCUCACUGAAACACAAUUAUCCUUUUUUUUUUUUUUUUUUAUGGGCUUCACCUCCAUUGCCCAUCUUUCAUACUACACAGCCAGCAGGGGGAAGCUGGGGGAGUGCUGGGGUCUCCCAAGCAGGGGCAUCAGGGAAUUCCAGCAAAAAUGGAAAAAGGAAGCAGAAAUUGCUGCAGUUCGUGCGUUCAUCUGUGGUCAGGGACAGAAAUCAGCCAAUAUAACUGGUAUUUGUUCACCUACAGUGGUACCUCGGGUUAAGUACUUAAUUCGUUCCGGAGGUCCGUACUUAACCUGAAACUGUUCUUAACCUGAAGCACCACUUUAACUAAUGGGGCCUGCUGCUGCUGCCACGCCACCGGAGCCCGAUUUCUGUUCUCAUCCUGAAGCAAAGUUCUUAACCUGAAGCACUAUUUCUGGGUUAGCGGAGUGUGUAACCUGAAGCGUAUGUAACCUGAAGCGUAUAUAACCUGAAGUACCACUGUAAUUGUUGUUGUCAUUUUAAGUCCACAAAUGAUACAUAAUGAAGUUUUUUAAAAAAAAAACAAAAAAACCACUGUUACACAAGUUACAUAAAAAGUUAUGAAAGUUAACAUUAAAAAGCAGAUGGCAAGGUGUAUGAAGUAAUAUUUGGCAGAAGCAGAGUGGAGCAGAAACGGCACUGACCAUGACAAAUACAGAAUGAAUUCUAGAAAUGGAAGGCACCCCAAGAGUCAGCUAGUCCACCCCCUGCAAUGCCAGAACCGCAACUAAAGAAUCCCUGACAAAUGACCAUUCAACCUCCGUUGAAAACUUCCAAUGGAAUGCAACAGACACCGCCUGCCAUCUUACACCCCUGGCCCAAGCUGCUCCUUUGCAGGCGCAUUUAGCCCCAAAGUAAAAAUAUAACCACAGCAAACAGCCCACGGACAAAAUAUGCAUUUCAAAGGACAUUGCCCUGCAGUCGCAACACAAAUAUAAGCAAAUGCUGCCAGGUGCACAAGCAACUAUUUCCCACCCUUUUCCUAAUUAAUCACCCACAUCCAUAUAUUCAGUUGACUUUAUCCAAAUUAUCAGUUGCUAAGGGUUCUAAAAUAUUAUUCAGCUUCCCAACAGAAUUUGUUUCAGUCAUGAACUGACAAGACAGUGGGGAGGAGGAAGAGGACCCCAGCAGGGGCAUAGCUGUGACUGGGACACACUGGGGCAAGCUGGGGAUGGGGAAGGAGAGGUUGGUGUAGAAAGUACUCACAAGGCAACAGAGGAUUGUGAGGAGAUGGGCAUCAGUUCACAGGAACCAGAGCAGCAAGACCCAUAACCAGAGCCAGAGGGGCCCCGUCUCCUCAAACACAGCAGGCUCUGAGGUGCAAGGAGCAGAAGGUAAACUCUAGGACGCUGAAGCAGACAAAGGCCCAUAGCCCAGCUCACUAGCUGGCCAGGUGGGGCUCAUUAGCUCUGGGAGGAAGUGUGUGAUUCCUCGGCUGGAGUAGGCUUGGAACAGGUGAGGGUUAUGUGCCUCAUCAAGCCCAGGUGCUGCAAUCAGCAGGCAAAGUAUAAAGGGAAACAGAGCUGAGGGGCUGGGUCUGCUCAACUUCUUGGAUAUUCCAAGACUCUCUUUGACAUUGUGCUUGUGUGCUCUGACCCCUGAAUCAGCUGCAGAGGCAGAAACCUGGCCUGACUGGACUUUGGACCUGUUGACCUGCUGGACUACACACCAGCAUCUGCCAUGGGAUUGUGGAUACCAGUGGGACUUGCCGCCAGGUACCCCAUAGUUCAGGACACCUACACCUGGGGGGAUGAUGAUGAUGAUUUAAUUUGUAUACAGCCCUAUAUCUGCAGGUUUCAGGGCGGUUACAACAUAAAUUCACAAUAUAAAAAGACAAAAUGCAUAAUAAAAAUAAACACAAAAAGAACCCAAUAAACUAACCCAUUCGUGCAAGUUCCAUUAAAGCCCUAAAGGAGGCUGAGACUAUCCGUGACAGCUGUGUUCUAUCUCCACUGUUGGAGGCAGUGAUGCCUCGGGAUACCAUUUGCUGGGAAUUGCAGGUGGGGCAAGUGGCCCUGCUUGUGGGCACCUGUUUGGCCGCUGUGGAAACAGGGAUGCUAAGAUAGAUAGGCCACUGGCCUGGUCCAGCAGGCUCGUAUUACAUGCUUGUGUUGUUCUACUUCUGUAAAUGUUGGUCUGCUUGAUUUCUCUCUCCCCUGCUACUCCCGUUUUUACUAUUGAGCGUAUAUCCCUGAACUAUAUAUUCUCUUGUUUUGCUUUAUGAUAUCGUAAACUGACUGGAGUGGGUAUUUUCUUUAGUGAGGCAGGAUAUGAAUAUGAAUUUAAAUAAUUCAGACAGGACUGUUGACCUGUUGCCUUUUAUGAUGAAGGCAUGAAAUAUAUUUAUUUUAUUUAUACAGUACUAUAGAACUAUAGAGUUCUAGUACAUAGUACAGUACUAAGAGUUUUCCCAGUAGUGAUGUAUGGAAGUAAGAGCUGGACCAUAAAGAAGGCUGAUCGCCGAAGAAUUGAUGCUUUCGAAUUAUGGUGCUGGAGGAGACUCUUGAGAGUCCCAUGGACUGCAAGAAGAUCAAACCUAUCCAUUCUUAAGGAAAUCAGCCCUGAGUGCUCACUGGAAGGACAGAUCAUGAAGCUGAGGCUCCAAUACUUUGGCCACCUCAUGAGAAGACCCUGGAAAAGACCCUGAUGUUGGGAAAGAUGGAGGGCACAAGGAGAAGGGGACGACAGAGGAUGAGAUGGUUGGACAGUGUUCUCGAAGCUACCAGCAUGAGUUUGACUAAACUGCUGGAGGCAGUGGAAGACAGAAGUGCCUGGCGUGCUCUGGUCCAUGGGGUCAUGAAGAGUCGGUCAUGACUAAGCGACUAAACAACAACAAGAGUUCUAUCCCACUUCUCCUCCCCUACCUUCCAAUGGUGAUGCUCAAAACAGCUAACAACAUAAAGCAGACAAUAUCAAAAAUUAAAAGUAGCAAUAAUCCCUCUUUUGGUUAAUGGAAUAAAUAGCCACAGACCAGCAGGAGAGAAAAACACACCACACAGAUGAGAAGAGGAGGAGGAAGGCGAAAGAGCCAAAGUAACAGAUGAUAACUUACUUAGUAGUAUUAGCAGAAUUAACAGAAGGGGAAUGUCUCCCCAGUAUUUUCAUCUUCCCUGAAGGGCUGUCACAUGAAAGAUGGAGCAAGCUUGUUUUUUGCUGCUCCAGAGGGGAAGACCCAAAGCAAUGUAUUCAAAGUACAGGAAAGAGAUUCCAACUAAACAUUAGGAAGAAUUUUCGGUGGCAAAGGAUAUUUGACAGUAGAAUGGUAGUAAACUCUUCUUCAUUGGUGGUUUUUAAGCAGAGGUUGGAUGGUCAUUGGUCAGGAGUUCCUUAGCUGCAAUUCCUGCAUUGCAGGACGUUGGACUAGAUGGCAGUAACCAAAGGGAUGUUGUUUCCAUUUGGAUGAAUGAACAGCAGAGUGUCCUUGUAAAGUUUGCUUUAUUUAUAAAUAUAUACAUUAGAGCAUAAGGGGAGGCAAAAAUCAGAUCCUCAGGAGCAGUGCCGGAUUUACGUAUAAGCUAAACAAGCUAUAGCUUAGGGCCCCCAAAAAAUUAAAGGGGGAAAAAACUGGAUGUACAUUUCCAAAAUAUAAGAUAAAAAAACCCCCUACAUACAGCAACAGAGUUUUGUGUUGUGUAAGCUCCUAUGAUGUAAGUAAUGGGCCCCGCCUGCUAUAUAAAGGGCCCCAUUACCUUCAGUCGCUUAGGGCCUCAUCAAACCUAAACCUGGCCCUGCUCAGGAGUGACCUGAGCAGCAUGCAAGUGUUGGAAGUGUGGGUGCAACUGAGCUUGCAGAAGAGGGGUUUGUGGGGGUUAAGACAGGGCCUCCAGAUUCCCAGACUAUUCCUGUACAGUGGAAGCUCGGGUUGCGAACGUGAUCCGUGCAGGAGGCACGUGCGCAGUGUUUACAACCUGCAGCACCACGUGUGCACACGCACGGGCCGCAAUUCAGCGCUUCUGCGCACCCGCAAAGCGUGAUUUAGUUAAGAACUUUGCUUCAGGAUGAGAACAGAAAUCGUGCUCUGGCGGCGCGGCAGCAGCAAGAGGCCCCAUUAGCUAAAGUGGUGCUUCAGGUUAAGAACAGUUUCAGGUUAAGAACGGACCUCCAGAACGAAUUAAGUACUUAACCUGAGGUACCACUGUACUCAAAAGGGGCUCAGUGGGGAAUUGACCCUAUUAUCCUAUUAGCAAGACUACUUCCUCCUCUCCAUGAACUCCAGCAAAAAAACUCUGAAAUAUAUAAAUCUCCCUGUUCCAAGGGCAGAAGUGCUGCUUUGAAAACACACACAUUGGCCCACUUUCCUCAGCAGGAGGAGAGGGCCCUUAAUCAAAGCACUGGUGGGUAUCUCAUUUAAUGGGUAUCUCAUUUAAAAUUGCGGAAAGAGUCACAGCUACCAGGAGGCCAUUUCUUCACCAUGAAACUGCCAGGGAUGCAACUUCCACCAGACAAUUCUAGGCAUUUAACCAGAAAUUGCAAACAACAAAAGAGUCAUCUAGUAGCUGUAACCAUAUGUGUCAUCGAGAGUAGGGGGUUUUGUGAUUGGAAGCCCCAUGUUCUUCAAAUCCCUGCUGGAAAGGGGAAGCAGCUUCGGAUAAGUCACAGGCUCUCCCUGUAGCCUUAUCAGAGGCUUAUUUUGAAGAUAAGUACACAUUGCAAGCCCUGUGCACAGAAAUGUUUUUCCAAAGCAUCAAGAUUGCAAGGGCGUUAGUGACUCUUCUGCAGCGAGGCACUUCUCUCUAACCCCCACCCCGGUCUUCCUUUCUGCAACAAACCUCAGUUUCCUCCUGUUUUCCCCCUCCAGGCCUGAGCAGAAGAAUUGAUUUCUAGUACAGCCCACCCUCUCCUUACUUUCCUACACAUCAGAAGAAGCGUCUGUUCUUCGUCAGAUCAGCAGGGCUUCCUUCCACACAGCAUGAUCAUCUCCAUUUUUUCCUCUCCAUUUAUCGGUAUCUUUUCUGCUGUGCAGCCUCCGAUCCUCAACACCCACUGAUGCUUUUUGUGUGCAGCCUCCAAGGAGGCCAUUGUUAUCAAAAAUAAUUCAGCCCAUCCUUGCCAGAUGUCCUCCCUCCUCCCCCCC